rnacentral:lncRNA from 1 species
UCGUGAUCUUGAAAUAUGAAUCAAAUAUCGAAUGCGAUAUCUGGACUUAUAUGCCAUAAUGGCAAAAACACAUCCGAAUAAAACCGUAAUUAUAAUUGUAUAAACUAUAGUUUCCAAAUGUUGCAUGCAUUCAACAUCGGCGACCGACUUGUCAGCCAUGCUUCUCGGACUUGUACAGAUAUAUGCUUCAGGAUAAUAUUUGAUCGUCACAUUAUUAGAUGACAAUUC